AAUGAACGCUGGCGGCGUGCCUAACACAUGCAAGUCGUACGAGAAAGGGGCUUCGGCCCUGAGUAGAGUGGCGCACGGGUGAGUAACGCGUGGGUAAUCUACCCCUGUAUUUGGAAUAACCCACCGAAAGGUGAGCUAAUACCGGAUACGUUUAUCUUGAUGCGAAUGAUGAUAAAGAAAGGUGGCCUCUUCAUGAAAGCUACUGUACAGGGAUGAGCUUGCGUACCAUUAGCUAGUUGGUAGGGUAAUGGCCUACCAAGGCGACGAUGGUUAGCGGGUCUGAGAGGAUGAUCCGCCACACUGGAACUGGAACACGGACCAGACUCCUACGGGUGGCUG
rnacentral:rRNA from 1 species